UCUUUUGUCAGGGAAGAAACGGUGAGAGCUAAUAUCUCUUGCCAAUGACGGUACCUGAAGAAUAAGCACCGGCUCACUACGUGCCAGCAGCCGCGGUAAUACGUAGGGUAAAGCGUUAUUCGGAAUUACUGGGCGUAAAGCGUGCGCAGGCGGUUUUGUAAGUCUGAUGUGAAAUCCCCGGGCUCAACCUGGGAAUUGCAUUGGAGACUGCAAUGCUAGAAUCUGGCAGAGGGGGGUAGAAUUCCACGUGUAGCAGUGAAAUGCAUAGAUAUGUGGAGGAAAACCGAUGGCGAAGGCAGCCCCCUGGGUCAAGAUUGACGCUCAUCCACGAAAGCGUGGGGAGCAAACAGGAUUAGAUACCCUGGUAGUCCAUGCCCUAAACGAUGUCUACUAGUUGUCGGGUCUUAAUUGACUUGGUAACGCAGCUAACGCGUGAUGUAGACCGCCUGGGGAGUACGGUCGCAAGAUUAAAACCCAAAGGAAUUGACGGGGACCCGCACAAGC
rnacentral:rRNA from 1 species